AUGGCAAUGCCAAUCGUGAGCGCCGCGGCGGGGGUGAUGAACCCCCUCAUCAGCAAGCUCACCACGCUCAUGGGAGAUGAGUACAAGAAGCUCAAAGGAGUGAGGAAGGAGGUGGCUUUUCUAAAGGACGAGCUCAGCGCCAUGAACGCUGCCCUUGAGAAGCUAGAGUACAUGGAGAAGCUGGAGCCAGAUACCAAGAACUGGAGGGACCAUGUCAGGGAGAUGUCGUAUGACAUGGAGAAUUGCAUCGAUGACUUCAUGCAGGAUAUUGGAGGUGCCGAUGCCAACGCCGGUGCAGGUUUCGUGAAAAGGAUGUCUCGGCGCCUAAAGACGCUGAGGGUGCGUCACCGGAUUGCCGGCCGGAUCGAGGAGCUCAAGGCUCUCGCAGAACAGGCGAAUGAACGGCGAUUAAGGUACAAGAUUGACGAUUGCAAUACUAGUUGUGGCUCUGUGGAUAUUGAUCCGCGGAUUUCAGUGAUCUACAAAGACACUGCUGGACUUGUGGGUACUGAUGGCCCAAAGAAGGAGGUUGCCAGUUUGUUAACAGUCACCGAGAAGAAGCUCAAGGUGGUGUCCAUCGUGGGAUUCGGAGGACUGGGUAAAACUACCCUUGCUAAUCAGGUGUAUGAUGAUCUCGAAGGGCAAUUUGAUUGUAAGGCAUUUAUUCCUGUCUCUCAAAAACCAGACAUGCCACGGCUUCUCAAUAGCCUAAGAUUAAAGCUUGGGAUAAAUGAGUCCUCUGGUAUUUGUGAGGUGCAAGACAUCAUCGUCAACUUAGAGAAUACCUUGCAAAAAAGAGGUAUUUUAUUAUAG
rnacentral:rRNA from 1 species